ACGGGUGACUAACACGUGGGUGAUCUGCCCUGCACUUUGGGAUAAGCCUGGGAAACUGGGUCUAAUACCGAAUAUGACCAUGCGCCUCCCGGUGUGUGGUGGAAAGCUUUUGCGGUGUGGGAUGGGCCCGCGGCCUAUCAGCUUGUUGGUGGGGUAAUGGCCUACCAAGGCGACGACGGGUAGCCGGCCUGAGAGGGUGACCUACCACACUGGGACUGAGAUACGGCCCAGACUCCUACGGGAGGCAGCAGUGGGGAAUAUUGCACAAUGGGCGCAAGCCUGAUGCAGCGACGCCGCGUGAGGGAUGACGGCCUUCGGGUUGUAAACCUCUUUCAGCACAGACGAAGCGCAAGUGACGGUAUGUGCAGAAGAAGGACCGGCCAACUACGUGCCAGCAGCCGCGGUAAUACGUAGGGUCCGAGCGUUGUCCGGAAUUACUGGGCGUAAAGAGCUCGUAGGUGGUUUGUCGCGUUGUUCGUGAAAACUCACAACUCAAUUGUGGGCGUGCGGGCGAUACGGGCAGACUUGAGUACUGCAGGGGAGACUGGAAUUCCUGGUGUAGCGGUGGAAUGCGCAGA
rnacentral:rRNA from 1 species